rnacentral:rRNA from 1 species
CUUCACCUACGGGAGGCAGCAGUGAGGAAUAUUGGUCAAUGGGCGGGAGCCUGAACCAGCCAAGUCGCGUGAGGGAAGACGGUCCUAUGGACUGUAAACCUCCUUAGGCGGGGAGCAAUGCCGGGCACGUGUGCCCGGAGGGAGAGUACCCGCAGAAUAAGCAUCGGCUAACUCCGUGCCAGCAGCCGCGGUAAUACGGAGGAUGCGAGCGUUAUCCGGAUUUAUUGGGUUUAAAGGGUGCGUAGGCGGAUUUUUAAGUCAGCGGUAAAAUGUCCGGGCUCAACCCGGGCCGGCCGCUGAAACUG